UUUUCAUAACACCGAAACGUUAUCAAAAAUUCAUUUUUCUUUACCUUACAUGCGAAAAGAUCAAAAUAAAAGUCUUUAAUACAUAAUAACUGCAAUUGUAUCUAGUAAAUAACACUAAACAUGUCUUAAAAUUAACAAAUAAUUAUAAAGGUAGAAAAAUUUAAUGAAAAAUUUAUUCUUUGUUACUACGAUCCACUUGGUAGUCCACAUCACCGCCCUUCCACAAUUCCAAUCGACCCAAACCACCCUGUAAAAAUUUGUAAGAGUGAGUAUUCGAAAACACCCAGUAAGAUACGUACAGUUUUCAUAUACAGAUAUAUAACAAUAAAAAUUAUACUUCAUACCAUCUGAUCUUAUAGAGUAUAUCGGUGACCAAGUGACUCACCCAUCUUAGGUCCUCUUAUAAUCUCGUAGAAUUUCAUAUCUCCUUAAAAAAAAUGAAUGUCUACUGACAAUCCAUGCAUUUUUAAUUGAAUAUAAACGCAUAAAGAAAUAAAAACACUUACACUUAAAGUAUCUUACUUCGUUGACCUGAAAAGUUGUAAUGGACCAAAAAAAUGCACAUUAAAACCCCUUUUAAUGUUUUCUUCUCUCUGACUUGACUAUUUAUUUUCUUUAGGUAAAAGCUUUCUG
rnacentral:lncRNA from 1 species